GCUCCUACCGAUUGAGUGAUCCGGUGAACUAUUCGGAAUGACGCAGUGCUCUGCUUCUGGAUGUUGCGUUGGAAAGUUUCAUGAACCUUAUCACUUAGAGGAAGGAGAAGUCGUAACAAGGUUUCCGUAGGUGAACCUGCAGAAGGAUCAAUUUCUGAAUAGCGUCGUGUAGGGCACGCUUGUAUAUCUCGUUGGUCUCCGUAUCCUUAUAUACACUCUCUUUUCUUUUUUUUCUUCUUUUCUUCUUUUUCUUCUCUCUCUUUCUUUUUUUCUUUCU
rnacentral:misc_RNA from 1 species